rnacentral:misc_RNA from 1 species
GAUGAAGAACGCAGCGAAAUGCGAUAAGUAAUGUGAAUUGCAGAAUUCAGUGAAUCAUCGAGUCUUUGAACGCACAUUGCGCCCCCUGGCAUUCCGGGGGGCAUGCCUGUCCGAGCGUCAUUGCUGCCAUUCAAGCCCGGCUUGUGUGUUGGGUCGUCGUCCCCCCCGGGGGACGGGCCCGAAAGGCAGCGGCGGCACCGCGUCCGGUCCUCGAGCGUAUGGGGCUUUGUCACCCGCUCGAUUAGGGCCGGCCGGGCGCCAGCCGGCGUCUCCAACCUUCUAUUUUACCAGGUUGACCUCGGAUCAGGUAGGGAUACCCGCUGAACUUAAGCAUAUCAAUAAGCGGAGGA